CCUCUCCUCUUCCCUCCUCCUCGCCUCUCUCCCCCCAUCCAAACCCUAGGCCGCCCCCACCGGCUGCCGCCGCUGUCGCCGCUCGGCCAGGCCAUCCUCCCUACACUCGCCCCCGCCCGCGCGUCCUCGCAUCCCAGCCCCCUCCCCUAACGUCGCCGCCCACCUCCACCCAAACCCGAAUGCCACCGCCGUCUCCUUUGCCCUGCCCGCCGGACCCCUGCCGCCCACUUCCCCGGUGUCGUCGCCGUCGUCCACCACCACCCCCACCGCGCCCCCACCUUCUCCCAAUCCCCUCGCCUUAUCUCCUGUGGCCGGUGGAUUGGCCCCUCGCGGGAUCGAUUCCUCCGAGGCGGCGGGGUCUUCAGGGCCGGACCUCCUCCUUCCACCUCCUGGCCGGCACCCCCUCCUGGCCGGCGCCCAACCUCUACAGCCCUCCUUCCCUUCCUGCGCCUGAAACCCUAGCUCUACAGGAGGUGCAGUAGAGAGGUCCCAGCGACCACGGUGGCGCAUCCACGGCAGGUCGACCUCACGUCAUCAAUGGGAGGAGGCCAGACGGAGCGACGGGUGGAGGUCAAGCGGAGUGCGCCUUCACCACCGGCUGGCACAUCGACAGGAGGAGGCCAGGCCUGGGCGACUCCGACUCCGGUUCCUCUCCGCCGCUUCUCCAUCCAAUGUGUGCUCCUCGUUGGCUUCUCCAUCCAACGCGUGCUUCUUCAUCCAGGCCUGGGCGGACCAAGGUUUUCCUCUGCUAGCAAUAUCCGAAGAGAAAUUACAUUAUAGUGUUAUAAGAAGACCUCUCUGCCAGGUCGUCCUCCAUCUCUAAGGUCAUAACUGAAUGCUAUAGUGCCCCAGGAGAAUAACUUGUGGGCUUGACACUUUAUAAGUUCGGUAGAUUCACUUCUUGAUGCCUUCUGCCAUUGUGCUGAACUGAACCCUGAUCCUACUGCUGAAAAUGAAGAUAGUGACUUGUUCCAUGGUGAGGAUAUGACCAAUGGUGGUUGGAUUCAUGGUUGAUGGAAUCGACCCUGAGUUUUUUAUUCCCAAACCGAUAGGUCAAAAUGGUGGAGAGGACCUCAGUUCUUCAGUACUUGAGGAGACGAACAUGUUGUGUUGGGAUGGAGGAGAAGGGCACGGGGAUGUUAGUCACCAGUGACAAGCCUGUCCAGAUCUACUUCUCCACAAAGGCUUGAUGUAAAUAUCCAUGACUACUUGCUCAAGUGAAAUAUCAAAAUUGCCAACAUGUUCCUGGUAGAGGGGGAGAUCCUUCCUGAACCCUUCAAUUUGAGCGAUGGGAAAUGAUGAGCUCCUGCUUCUUUUUAUGCCGGUUCAGGAGUGUAGGAAGCGGUUCCUCGUCGGUUGGACGUCGUUCAACCACAACUCUGGCACCCACUGAGCAAUGCCUCGGCUACAACCUCCCUCGUCCACACAGCUAGAUUGAGGGGUUCAAGAUGAACUUGAUCUACUUCGACCUGUACCAGUCCACACGGCUCGAGAAAUUCAUCACAGUUCUUGAAAGCCAAUGGUGAGCAGCCCUUGACAUGGAAGAGGGCUUCCAGCAUGGAGGAGGUCCUCAAGGAGGCUGAUGUGAUAAGCCUGCACCCCGUGCUGGACAAGACGGCGUACUACCUAAUAAACCCUGAGCGGCUAGCGAUGAUGGAGGAGGUAGUGUUGGUGAAUGCGAGCCGUGGCCCGGUGAUCGACGAGGUUGCAUUGGUGGAGCACCUGAGGGCGAAUCAUAUGUUCCAUGUUGGCCUUGAUGUUUUUGAGGAUGAGCCUUACAUGAAGCCAGGGCUGGCUGAGAUGAAGAAUGUCGUCGUCGUGCCUCACAUCGCAUCAACAUCCAAGACGCGUGAAGGGAUGGCGACGCUCGCUGCUCUGAACGUGCUUGUUUGGUAUGAUUUCCCUGCAUUAUGGAGCACCAUCAUUAGUACUUGCAACUCUAUACCAGUAUUUGAAGAAGUUUAAAGUUUCGAUCUAUCCGUGGAUAUAUAUUCCAAUGAUGUGAUGUUAGCUCCAUUCUCAGUAGUCCUUUCAGCUUUGGUUUUGGAUGUGAUGUCAUUGCUUGACUCCUCCCCCCUAUUGGAAAAUGGUGCUCUUCAUAUCUCACUCUUCUGUCUUAAGAAAGUUCAGUUAUCUUAUUUCUAUGUUUCUUUGGUUAUACCAUGCUUAGAUACGUACACUAGCAUGCCAAUAGCUUGGCAUUUACCUCCUAGUUAUACCAAAACUUUCUUCGCUUGAAGAUAAGAAUGCUUUGAUGACAUCCGAAUUUUAGUUUGUUCGUUAGUAUGGCAAAGGGUGCCAUUGUGGUCCGGAGCCUCAUGUUAGCUCGUCCCCUAUUUUAGUUUGCUUUUCUUUAAAGUUCAUUUUUGUUAGUCUUUCUUAUGGAUAUUCAUUUUUUCGUUCUCUCUCUCUCUAUGUUCAAAGUGUAAGGGAAAUAAAAUGGAUGUGUCUUCUGCGUUAUCUUCAAACAUCAAUUUUGUUUUGUAGCAAUGCCUAUGUGGAAGUUUUGAUUCAUUUUCCUCUUGUUCUACUACUAAAGCUAAAUCAAAUAUGAUAUGUUAAAAGAAGUUUGACGCAUCAUAAUAUUCAAGAUCACACUUAUUUGAGUAUCAUGGUUUCCCCCAGAUUUAGGAACGUAGUGCUUCUCUCUUCCUAUUGGUGUGAGGUGGACAUAAUUUUUUCUUAUGUAUUGAUGCCGUUAUGGUUUCCUUUACGAGAUAGUUUUAUGUACUGGCCAUUCUCUUAGGAGAGUUUUUGUUCCAUUAUGUUGGCAGACCAUUCUCUUAGAUCAAUUUUUUUGGUGAUCAUUCUUUUUAAUAACCACUGAUGUAACUUUGUGGUACUCUCUCUUUCUCAUCCUCUUGGAUUCCAGGUCAACACCAUCACGGGGCGGGAUGAGGUCUCUAUAGUAGUUUGGAUGGGAUCUCCACUAAUUUAUCUCCUUUGCUAUUGUAAACGGAGGCUCUUCUAUCUGACAUAUUAAUCUCAUGCAUUAGUUUUGCUUUUGCUCUCUUAUGUUCCUGCUAAGUGUUGUACCUAAUGUCAUCUAAUUAGCUUUUGUAAUCUAAUGACCAUACCGAACUUGAUGUUGCCUUUCCUUAUGGGACAGUCUAAAUGCAAUUAGCUAUUGUAAUCUUGUGACACUUUUGAACUCGAUUAUGCCUUACUUUUGGUACAAGACUGAAUGUUUCUUUUUUCU